rnacentral:rRNA from 1 species
AAUCAACGCUGGCGGCGUGCCUAACACAUGCAAGUCGCACGAGAAAGGGACUUCGGUCCUGAGUAAAGUGGCGCACGGGUGAGUAACACGUGACUAAUCUACCCUCGAGUGGGGAAUAACCUAGGGAAACCUGGGCUAAUACCGCAUAACACUUACGAGUCAAAGCAGCAAUGCGCUUGGGGAGGAGGUCGCGGCAGAUUAGUUAGUUGGCGGGGUAAUGGCCCACCAAGACGANGAUCUGUAUCCGGCCUGAGAGGGCGCACGGACACACUGGAACUGAAACACGGUCCAGACUCCUACGGGAGGCAGCAGUGGGGAAUUUUGCGCAAUGGGGGAAACCCUGACGCAGCAACGCCGCGUGGAGGACGAAGUCUCUUGGGACGUAAACUCCUUUCGAUCGGGACGAUUAUGACGGUACCGGAAGAAGAAGCCCCGGCUAACUUCGUGCCAGCAGCCGCAGUAAU